rnacentral:rRNA from 1 species
UUUUUAUUGAGAGUUUGAUCCUGGCUCAGGACGAACGCUGGCGGCGUGCCUAACACAUGCAAGUCGAGCGAUGAAGUUUCCUUCGGGAAACGGAUUAGCGGCGGACGGGGGAGUAACACGUGGGUAACC